UUUGUUACAGGGUACACUGAAAAGACCAGAGGACCUGGGUUCAAAUCCCAGCUCUGCCGCUUACUUCUGGUGGGACCUCGGACAGCUCUCUAAGAUGUAAAUUACAGCUAACUUGGCAUUGGUGGCAAUGGAGGAGUCAUCAUAUGGAUAAAAUAAGAAAUACAGAUAAAAGAAAGAAAAGUUUACUUCUGCUAUCCAAUAAUGUGAUAAUAUUCACCUGAAAUGCUGAGAGGAAUCAGAAGAUGCACACCAUUUUCCUCUUGUAAACUCUCUGGACCUUUGAACAAUUUCCAAGGUCUCUUCACAUUUUCCACCCUUGACAUAUGCACUGGUAUCAUCGUCAUAGGACAGUUAAUGGGCAGGUCCGCCAUCUGCAUGAACAAGAGCCAGAGUGAUUUGGGUUUAAGGCUUACUGAGUAGCUCCAUUUGAAUCCCAAUGGGUCUUACCAAAGCCUGAUUUUUCUAGAACUCUACUUCAAGAAAUCCACUUUCUUUUGAGCAGAACACCCACAUGAAGUAUGGAUUGACUGGCUUACGGAGCUUACUGAAUAAGCUGCAUUCUGCAUGCACAGCCUAAGCUUAUAGGGUC